rnacentral:rRNA from 1 species
AUACGGAGGAUGCAAGCGUUAUCCGGAUUUAUUGGGUUUAAAGGGUGCGUAGGCGGUUUGCUAAGCGGGAGGUGAAAUGCCGGCGCUCAACGUCGGAAGUGCCUCCCGAACUGGUGGACUUGAAUGACUCUGCCGUGGGAGGAAUGUGUAGUGUAGAGGUGAAAUGCUUAGAGAUUACACAGAACACCGAUUGCGAAGGCAUCUCACGAAGGGUUGAUUGACGCUGAGGCACGAAAGCGUGGGGAUCAAACAGGAUUAGAUACCCUGGUAGUCCACGCAGUAAACGAUGAUGGCUAACCGCUGGAUCCAUCGGUUCAGUGGCCAAGCGAAAGCGAUAAGCCAUCCACCUGGGGAGUACGACCGCAAGGUUGAAACUCAAAUGAAUUGGCGGGG